CUAUCAGGUAGCAGGUGUGGACGCCUGUGCACAGAAAGAGAAAGUCAAUUUACACAAUAAGGACACAGGACAAGGACUAAAAUACCACACGGAGGGAUAUAACAAAUAUACCGUGUUUUAGUGAGAUUGUAAAGACAUACCUCAAAGUCGGAUGGCUGUGGUGAACACGCCAGCGUCUCAGAGAGAAGCCGAGGAGCCAAACUCACAGCUGCCUUUUUUGACAGGUACUGCAGGAGGACGCAUUAUCCACUGAUGUCUCCGCAUUUGCAUCCAUCUAUGAGCAGACUUGGUAACACCAGCUUUAGCCUGAGUGUAAACAGCAGACGGACGGAUUUACAUGAACUCCAGGACUGAGACUGAGACUCCACACUCCUGCAGGGAGAUCUGAAAUGCAGCCAAGAAGCUUUUUCAAUGUUAACCAAGAGGCUGUCCUUCACUGAUACAAAUAUGCUAGUAUUGAUUCUAAAAUCUUUUGUCAUGUGACCGCACUCCAUGGCCACAACAGUCAAGGUGAACCAUUUAUUUACUGUGCUUCUACUCAAAAACACUGUUUUCUGACGUGGACA